AACGGAGGAGAAGGGGUGGUCGGCGACAUUUUUUAGUUUCAGAGGGAGAAAAGGUGUGAGUCGGGGGGUUUGAUGGUGGAGGAAUGAGUGAAAUGUGAUCAAUGAUUGGAAGGAAAAAGAAAGACCAUAGCCACGUGGUUUUAAUGAUUUUAAAACAUAAAAAAAAUAUUUACAGCUUCAUUUAAAGUUAACGCGGUCUCAAUACAUUUAACGGUUGGGGUAAAAUGUUUGCAUUUUUACAAAAAUUGUGACCAAAUUGAGACUGUUUAAAACUUGAGGACCAAACUGAGAUUGAUAGACAAAUCUGAGGACCAUUGGAGGUAUUAAGCCUUUUAACUAUAAUAAAUUUAUAUCAAAUAAUAAAUAAUUAAAAUUUUAGAUUGGUUACCAUAGUUAAGUUUUAAGUGUCCAAUAAAUGUAAUUACCUACCUCUUUCCUUACCUCUGUAUUUAUAGGUUUCGAAAUGGACUUUUAAUUAGGGUUAACCCAAUUGCGGCCC
rnacentral:lncRNA from 1 species